GCUGCGGAAACACCAGUUACCGUACGAUCACCGAAGUUAAGCAACAUCGAGCCUGGUCACUACUUACGUGGAUGAGCGCUUGGGAAUACAAGGUGCUGUAAG